rfam:Salmo salar isolate Sally breed double haploid chromosome ssa09, whole genome shotgun sequence.
UGAAUGCACUAACUGUAAGUCGCUCUGGAUAAGAGCGUCUGCUAAAUGACAACAU